ACGCACGCUGGCGGCGUGCUUAACACCUGCCAGUCGAACGGAAAGGCCCUGCUUGCAGGGUCCUCGAGUGGCGAACGGGUGAGUAACACGUGGGUGAUCUGCCCUGCACUUCGGGAUAAGCCUGGGAAACUGGGUCUAAUACCGGAUAGGAGCCAUUUUUAGUGUGAUGGUUGGAAAGUUUUUUCGGUGUAGGAUGAGCUCGCGGCCUAUCAGCUUGUUGGUGGGGUAAUGGCCUACCAAGGCGGCGACGGGUAGCCGGCCUGAGAGGGUGGACGGCCACAUUGGGACUGAGAUACGGCCCAGACUCCUACGGGAGGCAGCAGUGGGGAAUAUUGCACAAUGGGCGCAAGCCUGAUGCAGCGACGCCGCGUGGGGGAUGACGGCCUUCGGGUUGUAAACUCCUUUCGCUAGGGACGAAGCUUUUUGUGACGGUACCUAGAGAAGAAGCACCGGCUAACUACGUG
rnacentral:rRNA from 1 species